UACAGAGGGUGCGAGCGUUAAUCGGAAUUACUGGGCGUAAAGCGUGCGCAGGCGGUUCGUUAAGACAGGUGUGAAAUCCCCGGGCUUAACCUGGGAAUGGCGCUUGUGACUGGCGGGCUGGAGUACGGCAGAGGGGGGUGGAAUUCCACGUGUAGCAGUGAAAUGCGUAGAGAUGUGGAGGAACACCGAUGGCGAAGGCAGCCCCCUGGGCCGAUACUGACGCUCAUGCACGAAAGCGUGGGGAGCAAACAGG
rnacentral:rRNA from 1 species